rnacentral:rRNA from 1 species
UACGAAGGGGGCUAGCGUUGCUCGGAAUCACUGGGCGUAAAGGGCGCGUAGGCGGCUUUGUAAGUCGGGGGUGAAAGCCUGUGGCUCAACCACAGAAUUGCCUUCGAUACUGCAUGGCUUGAGACCGGAAGAGGUAAGUGGAACUGCGAGUGUAGAGGUGAAAUUCGUAGAUAUUCGCAAGAACACCAGGGCGAAGGCGGCUUACUGGUCCGGUUCUGACGCUGAGGCGCGAAAGCGUGGGGAGCAAACAGG